CCCCCCCCCCCCAACCGCCCGCACCCUCCUCGCCCGCACCGCGGCCGGCCGGAACCCCAGCCUCGCGCCUAAGGCCCGGGGAGAGGAGCAGAGGGUGUGCGGAUGCCCUGGGUCCCCCCUUCCAUCUGCCGAGGCGUGAGAGAUCCGGAGUGGACCCACCGCAGCAACUAGGGAAGGGGAAGGGGACUGGGAGAGGGGAGGACGCGAUGGAGGUAGGUGUAGGUUUGACGUCCCGGGCCGCCGAGAGGACUCUGCCUCGGACUGGGGCCACCAGGGUGGCGUCAAGGAGCGGAGGGCACCGACCACUGCAGAUGCGGCGCGUGUGCGCGCGGCGAAAGCGCCCCCUUCUCCCGGGAUCCAAACGGAUAAACGGAAGUGUGGGUGAGUGUGGGGGUGCGAAUCGCCACCUCGGCCUUGGCUUUCCCGCUCUUCCGAGCGCUCCCACUUCUCACUUUCCCCAAAUCCGCAUUUUCCUUGGCACUGCUCUUCGGAGCACCGAGGAGAGGGAGGUGCCCGGGAGCAGUGAGAAUGACGUGUGCUGGUGCAGAGGGGGUGGGGGGCUGCGGGCCGGGCUCUGUGGACCGGCUCCUAAUCCUCUUGUUUUCGGAACUGUCAGCAGAUGUGGCUUCUCUUAGCUGAAUAAUCCUUUAAAGGAAUAAUAAUUUUUAAAAAGGACAUCGACCUCACCCAAGGAAGACUGUGAACGAGAUCAGGGCUUGUAGAUCUACUGCCUUUGGAUGCGCUGGCUGAAACGCUGCGGACUGCAACCAGGCUCUUAAAAAGGAGAACAAAAAGAUGAAGACCUUGGGCGGACGCCGGGACAAAGCACCUUGCGCUCCGGAGAAGGGACGCGCUCUGGAACACUAGUUAUCUCCUCGGCCGGAGGGCGCCUGCCGGGCGUGCGGACCUCUGAGGGAUCCUGCCACAUUAUAUACGAGUGACCUUUUAAAUCUACGCCCACCCUUUACCCGCGAGAGGACUGCAGCAGGCGAGUUCCGGAAGGCUGAUUCCCCAGAUCCCGACCCCGGACCGUGGCAGUUCGCCCCUCUGGCACGCCCGGCCAAACUGUGCCUGGACUCAGCGAUCAAGGAAAAAGCCUGGAAACGAAAGGAUGCGGGAGAACAAAGAGCCUUCGGAAGACGUCGCUGUUAUCUCAUUGUCUGUGUGAUUGGGGGAGCUGCGGUAGGGAGGAUGCUGUGGUCCUGUCCUCCCGGCGCUCCCCCACCCCCACCCCUCUCCCUGCUGUCAGUGCGCACGCACACGCGCCGCUUUUUAUUUCUCUUUCCUGGUUUUCUCAUUCCAUCUUCUCCCCAUCCCCUUCCUUUCUUUCACCUUUCCUUCCUUCCUCAGGAGAAAGGCCUCUCUCUCCGUGUUCACAGCGGACCUUGAUUUAAAUGUCCAUACAAUUAAGGCACGC